GAGAGUGGCACAUUCAAGUUCAUAGACCGUGAAGGAAAUCUGGCUUUAGUUUUAGAGGUCAUACCAUCAGCAUCAAUGCAUUUUAACCCUGGCAUUAUGUUUGAAUUUGGAACUCUUGUUUUAAUUGUUUUCCAUACAGUUGGCUGUGGUUUAUGUCUUAGAAUGUUCUGCUGUAAAAAUGGAAAGCCUCCUUCUCAGGUUGCUCAGACUGCACAAGAACCUAGAACGCAUUAUGAUGAUUUAAAUGAGUGUGAAGGUUCAGGAUUUUCUGCUGCACCUUAUCCUGCAGCGUUCCCCCCUCCAGCAGUGAAUGUACCUUUCCCUCCUCCUGCAAUGAAUGCUGGGAUUUCCCAUGAUGCUGCAGCUGCUUCCUCUAGACCUGUGGCAUAUCAACCAACAUAUGAGAUUAAGAAUAUCUCUCAGCCUGAGGU